rnacentral:misc_RNA from 1 species
UUUCCGUAGGUGAACCUGCGGAAGGAUCAUUCAUCAUCAAGUGUUUUAUGGCACUUUUUAAAAAUCCAUAUCCACCUUGUGUGCAAUGUUAGAUCUCGUCAAUCUUGGCGAGAUUUUUAUACAUCAACUCAUUCUUUAACUAAUUUGUCUGAAAAAUAUUAUGAAUACUUAAUUCAAAAUACAACUUUCAACAACGGAUCUCUUGGCUCUC